AAACUGUGUUGUAGGCAUGAACUGACAAGAUCCUUGAAGCGCUCCCAACAUUGGAUGAAUGUUUCAACUUCCUUUUGGGUGAAGUUCAUAAUUGAAUUUCUGAGGGU